rnacentral:tRNA from 1 species
CUCUCCAUAGCUCAACAGGAUAGAGCAGCCGCCUCCUAAGCGGCCGAUCGGGGUUCGAGUCCCUGUGGAGAGACCA